rnacentral:rRNA from 1 species
GCCCUAUGCUGCCGGAAUAACCUCGGGAAACUGAGAAUAAUACCGGAUAGAUCACAACGCCUGGAACGGUGUGUGGUUCAAAGGUCACGGCAUAGGAUGGGUCUGCGGCGUAUCAGGUCGUAGGGGGUGUAAAGGACCUCCUAGCCAUCGACGCGUACGGGUGUUGGGAGACAUAGCCCGGAGAUGGAUUCUGAGACACGAAUCCAGACCCUACGGGGUGCAGCAGGCGCGAAAACUUCACACUGCAGGAAACUGUGAUGAGGGAACUCCAAGUGCGCGCACUUAUGUGUGCGCUUUUCUUGACUAUUAAUCGGUCUUGGAAUAAGGGCUGGGAAAGACCGGUGCCAGCCGCCGCGGUAAUACCGGCAGCUCAAGUGGUCGUCGCUUUUAUUGGGCCUAAAACGUCCGUAGCCUGUUUGGUAAAUCUGUGGGUAAAUCAACCAGCUUAACUGGUUGAAUUCUGCAGAAACUGCCAGACUAGGGACCGGGAGAGGUGUGGGGUACUCUAGGGGUAGGGGUAAAAUCCUGUCAUCCUUAGAGGACCACCAGUUGCGAAGGCGCCACACUGGAACGGAUCCGACGGUCAGGGACGAAGCCUAGGGGCACGAACCGGGAUUAGAUACCCGGGUAGU